rnacentral:lncRNA from 1 species
UACUUUUGUUCCCUGGGGUGAAAAGUGACUAAUGCAUAGGUGAGCAAAAGGUUCAAUUUUGAGGGCAGUUCCAUAGAUGGGAGAGAAAAUGAAACUAUUAGCAUGUGGUAAGGCAGACAAGGUAAGUGAGUGGAUUCAGGGAAUCUAAUUCUCUCAGACAUGUUUCCUUGAUUUUCAUGAAUCUAGUGACAUUCCCUGAUUACUCCAUUGGGCUGGAAACUACAAUCACUGGUGACUGGAGAGAAGCAACACCUGAAGAAGGUAAAUGAAAUCAUCAUAGAGCAGAUGAUGAUUCUUCCCUAGACUACUUGGCACAAAUCUUACUCAGAAAAGAAGACAAAACCAUCUGCCUUAUAUGAGAGCUCAAGAUAAAAUGGAGAUGCUAUUGUGUGGGAGUGUAAGCCAAUUAGGAUCCAUCCUUUAAAACAUUCUCCAGUCAGAGAUUUACAAAAAUAUAUAGCAC